rnacentral:rRNA from 1 species
GACGAACGCUGGCGGCGUGCUUAACACAUGCAAGUCGAACGGAAAGGCCCUGCUUUUGUGGGGUGCUCGAGUGGCGAACGGGUGAGUAACACGUGAGUAACCUGCCCUUGACUUUGGGAUAACUUCAGGAAACUGGGGCUAAUACCGGAUAGGAGCUCCUGCUGCAUGGUGGGGGUUGGAAAGUUUCGGCGGUUGGGGAUGGACUCGCGGCUUAUCAGCUUGUUGGUGGGGUAGUGGCUUACCAAGGCUUUGACGGGUAGCCGGCCUGAGAGGGUGACCGGCCACACUGGGACUGAGCUACGGCCCAGACUCCUACGGGAGGCAGCAGUGGGGAAUAUUGCCCAAUGGGCGGAAGCCUGAUGCAGCAACGCCGCGUGCGGGAUGACGGCCUUCGGGUUGUAAACCGCUUUCGCCUGUGACGAAGCGUGAGUGACGGUAAUGGGUAAAGAAGCACCGGCUAACUACGUG